GAGUUUGAUCGUGGCUCAGAUUGAACGCUGGCGGCAGGCUUAACACAUGCAAGUCGAGCGGGGGAGAUUGCUUCGGUAAUUGACCUAGCGGCGGACGGGUGAGUAAUACUUAGGAAUCUGCCUAUUAAUGGGGGACAACAUCUCGAAAGGGAUGCUAAUACCGCAUACGCCCUACGGGGAAAGCAGGGGAUCACUUGUGACCUUGCGUUAAUAGAUGAGCCUAAGUCGGAUUAGCUAGUUGGUGGGGUAAAGGCCUACCAAGGCGACGAUCUGUAGCGGGUCUGAGAGGAUGAUCCGCCACACUGGGACUGAGACACGGCCCAGACUCCUACGGGAGGCAGCAGUGGGGAAUAUUGGACAAUGGGGGGAACCCUGAUCCAGCCAUGCCGCGUGUGUGAAGAAGGCCUUAUGGUUGUAAAGCACUUUAAGCGAGGAGGAGGCUCCUGUAGUUAAUACCUACAGAGAGUGGACGUUACUCGCAGAAUAAGCACCGGCUAAC
rnacentral:rRNA from 1 species